UACCAAUAACCUGUAGUUCUCUGCCAUCAC
rnacentral:piRNA from 1 species